rnacentral:rRNA from 1 species
GGUGGGCACUCUAAGGAGACUGCCGGUGACAAACCGGAGGAAGGUGGGGAUGACGUCAAGUCAUCAUGGCCCUUACGGCCUGGGCUACACACGUGCUACAAUGGUCGGUACAGAGGGUUGCCAAGCCGCGAGGUGGAGCUAAUCUCACAAAACCGAUCGUAGUCCGGAUCGCAGUCUGCAACUCGACUGCGUGAAGUCGGAAUCGCUAGUAAUCGCGAAUCAGAAUGUCGCGGUGAAUACGUUCCCGGGCCUUGUACACACCGCCCGUCACACCAUGGGAGUGGGUUGCACCAGAAGUAGCUAGUCUAACCUUCGGG